rnacentral:rRNA from 2 species
CGUCUGAUUAGCUAGUUGGUAAGGUAAAAGCUUACCAAGGCAACGAUCAGUAGCUGGUCUGAGAGGAUGAGCAGCCACACUGGGACUGAGACACGGCCCAGACUCCUACGGGAGGCAGCAGUGGGGAAUUUUCCGCAAUGGGCGAAAGCUUGACGGAGCAAGACCGCGUGGGGGAGGAAGGCUCUAGGGUUGUAAACCCCUUUUCUUUGGGAAGAACAAAAUGACGGUACCAAAGGAAUCAGCCUCGGCUAACUCCGUGCCAGCAGCCGCGGUAAUACGAGGAGGCAAGCGUUAUCCGGAAUGAUUGGGCGUAAAGCGUCCCCCAGGUGGCAAUGUAAGUCUGCUGUCAAAACCCAGGGCUCCACUCUGGUCAGGCAGUGGAAACUACAUACCUAGAGUUCGGUAGGGGCAAAGGGAAUUCCCGGUGUAACGGUGAAAUGCGUAGAGAUCGGGAAGAAU